rnacentral:rRNA from 1 species
GUUAGGAAUAUUGGACAAUGGGCGCAAGCCUGAUCCAGCCAUGCCGCGUGAGUGAUGAAGGCCUUCGGGUUGUAAAGCUCUUUAGUCCACGAAUAUAAUGACUGUAGUGGAAGAAUAAGCCCCGGCUAACUUCGUGCCAGCAGCCGCGGUAAUACGAAGGGGGCGAGCGUUAUUCGGAAUCACUGGGCGUAAAGCGUGCGUAGGCUGUUUUGUAAGUCAGAAGUGAAAGCCCAGGGCUUAACCCUGGAAUUGCUUUUGAAACUACAAGACUCGAAUUCGGGAGAGGAUAGCGGAAUUGUCAGUGUAGCAGUGAAAUGCGUAGAUAUUGACAGGAACACCAGUGGCGCAAGCGGCUAUCUGGACCGAUAUUGACGCUGAGGCACGAAAGCGUGGGGAGCAAACAGGAUUAGAUACCCCGUAGUCC